AAAUCUUCUGCUUUCAACAAGCAGGCCAUGGAACCACAUAAAUAAAUAAAUAAACCACACACCCACUGAAAAAAAAACAAAAACAAAAAAACAUAAGCUGCUUGUGCCACCGUUGUGUUGACUGUGGAUCAUCAUCAGAACGUCUGCCAGCAUGAUGAUGGUCUAAAUGUGACAUCCUGUCUGAAGAUGCUCAAAGAUGUAGCACAUGGCUGCAGGCAGACUCAAGUCCAGAUUAAAUAAUUACUUUCACCAUAGUCUUUUAACGUUGUUAUGCAAAUGAGCUGAAAUAUCAUUCAGAUGUGCUGCUGAUUUAAAUAUGUAUAUAUAUAUAUAUAUAUAUCAACUAAGCCUUUUAACAAAAUGACAAAACAUUAGUGACAUAACGACAAAGCAGUUUGUCAUUUUCUAAAACAUUUAAUCUGUGUUUGAAUGGUUUUUGCAGAAAUGAUGAAAAUAAACAUUUCUUGUAUUGUUUCUUAAAAACAGAAUGUUGAAAAGUAAUUAUAUUUUUCAAUAAUAUAAACCAUCUCAGGUUCUUUUAUUUUAUUUUUCUUUCCACCAAUAAAAUGAAGCAGAAAUA